rnacentral:rRNA from 1 species
AUUGAACGCUGGCGGAUGCCUUACACAUGCAAGUCGAACGGUAACAGGUCUUCGGAUGCUGACGAGUGGCGAACGGGUGAGUAAUACAUCGGAACGUGCCCGAGAGUGGGGGAUAACGAAGCGAAAGCUUUGCUAAUACCGCAUACGAUCUCAGGAUGAAAGCAGGGGACCGCAAGGCCUUGCGCUCACGGAGCGGCCGAUGGCAGAUUAGGUAGUUGGUGGGAUAAAAGCUUACCAAGCCGACGAUCUGUAGCUGGUCUGAGAGGACGACCAGCCACACUGGGACUGAGACACGGCCCAGACUCCUACGGGAGGCAGCAGUGGGGAAUUUUGGACAAUGGGCGCAAGCCUGAUCCAGCCAUGCCGCGUGCAGGACGAAGGCCUUCGGGUUGUAAACUGCUUUUGUACGGAACGAAAAGACUCAGGUUAAUACCUGGGGUCCAUGACGGUACCGUAAGAAUAAGCACCGGCUAACUACGUGCCAGCAGCCGCGGUAAUACGUAGGGUGCGAGCGUUAAUCGGAAUUACUGGGCGUAAAGCGUGCGCAGGCGGUUAUGUAAGACAGAUGUGACAUCCCCGGGCUCAACCUGGGAACUGCAUUUGUGACUGCAUA